GACAUCAAGUCGAGCGGUAGGCGUUCCUUCGGGGGCGCCGAGAGCGGCGAACGGCGGAGUAACAGUGAGUAACCUGCCCCGAAGACUGGGAUAACCCGGGGAAACUCGGGCUAAUACCGGAUGGGAUGUCUUGGCUUCGGCUGAGGCAUCUAAAGGCGCAAGCCGCUUCGGGAGGGGCUCGCGCCUAUCAGGUAGUUGGUGAGGUAACGGCUCACCAAGCCUGCGACGGGUAGCCGGUCUGGAGGACGGCCGGCCCGAGGGGCACUGAGACACGGGCCCCACUCCUACGGGAGGCAGCAGCGGGAAUCUUGGGCAAUGGGCGCAAGCCUGACCCAGCGACGCCGCGUGGAGGACGAAGCCUUCGGGGUGUAAACUCCUUUGAGCAGGGAUGAACGCAGACAGUACCUGCAGAACAAGCCCGGCUAACUACGUGCCAGCAGCCGCGGUAAUACGUAGGGGGCGAGCGUUGCCCGGAUUACUGGGCGUAAAGCGCACGUAGGCGGCUCCGUAAGUCUGGUGUGAAAUCUCCCGGCUCACUGGGAGGCUGCACUGGAUACUACAGGGCUCGAGGGCGGGAGAGGAGAUUGGAAUUCCCGUGUAGCGGUGAAAUGCAUUGAUAUCGGGAGGAACACCAGUGGCGAAGGCGGAUCUCUGCCCGCUUCUGACGCUGAGGUGCGAAAGCUGGGGGAGCGAAAGGGACUAGAUACCCCUGUGUCCCAGCCCUAAACGAUGGGUGCUAGACGUUGGGGGAUUUCCCUCAGUGUCGCAGCUACGCGUUAAGCACCCCGCCUGGGGAGUACGGCCGCAAGGUUGAAACUCAAAUGAAUUGACGGG
rnacentral:rRNA from 1 species